GUCAGCCUCUGCAUGACUCUCUGCAGAGGAUCUCAAAUCAGCUUUCCUCUCCUCAGAAAGGGACAGACUACUUGGAUGGAAUUCCAUUCUCCUUACCCAUCUAGUCCACAUGGGCUCAAAUAGUGGAAAGAAUAUGGACAUGAUGAGAACAGGAGCUGUCCGCUGAACGGGACCAUCUGGCCAAGGAGUUCCCUUUCACACUCCUGGGGCAGCUCUCUGCAUUGUAGAAGAACCCCCUGGAUGCCUCCUCCACCACCACUUCCCGAACUGGUGCCAGCUUGGCUCCCACUGGAGAGAUGGAAAGGAGCUGCUCAGGACUCUGCUACAACCAGAAGCAGCGACUAUGGCACCACGGUAGGUUAAGUACCACAUACACCCUGCUACCAUCUCAAAGCAGACAGGGGUCAGGGAUCAACUGAUCACAAGCUCGGAGGCAGGGCAGGCCUAAUCACUAUUUCAUCACUAGUAAUUGCAUGAGCCAGUAAGUUCCUGGCCUUUUCAGGGAGCAGAUCCCCUGCUUUUCCUACCAGCUGUAUCAAACAUCUCAUAACAUCCCAGAAUCAAAGCCAUGCAGGGAACUUUGGGGAAAGUCUAAUACAAUUUUACAUUGUAUUACAUUUUACAGUGAAGUCUCUAUGGGUCAAACACUGUACUGGACACUGGGACAAAAAGGUACACUAUAGAUUGGAAAGCAGGAUACAGGCAGACAUAGAUGAUGGAAAGUGAAAUGAAGAGCGAGAUCACCCAUGUGCAUCUGACAUGACACUUCCAGGGUCCGUCCCGCAGGCCAGUUGCAGCCAUUAGGCUGCUGCAGGAGAACUCACUCAAAACAUGGGCCUCUCCACAAUGGGCUCAGGCCCACAAUUUGAACAUGGGCACCAGGUAAGAAGGUUGUUAGCAGAUGAAACACCCGAAGUGUUUUUGCUGGAUAGGCCAUGCACCCAUGGGCUGUACUCAUUGCAAGGGAGCAUAUUUCUAAUGUCUUUAUAAGCUACCUUAUGGGCUAGCAGCUGCACUUAACAGUCAACCUGGUACAUUGCUGUGAGUUACAGCCCCUAAGAAAGAUCUCAGGAAGAAAACCAGAACUGAAUCCGGUUUGAUAAGGGGAUGCACCAGAAGGGCGGAAGAUGCCACAGCAGCCAAGCCCGUGGGCCCAGGCUCCCAUGGACCUCUGCCUGGGAGCCAGAUUGCCCAGAGUUGGCCAGGUUCUUACCCGGCACACAGCUCACAGCUUUUCCCAAAUAGCACUAGGCUGCCUUCCUCUCAGCACAUCCUCCUCUAAAAAAAUGGAGAUAACGAGAGUAAACAACCUCAAAUGGAAGUUGAGAGGAAUACUACUUCUUUUGUGUGUACGAAGGCCCAGGGCCCUUGGAUGAAGAUCAACUGCAUUAAGAAGCUAUUGAACAAUGUAGGUAAACCGAGGCUGCUCCUCAUCAGAGGCUCCCAGUGCCUCUGGCCCCCUUGUUCCUAUACUUUCCAGGCCUGGGCUCUAUGUACCAGGAAGAGGUUGGUACUGCCAUGUGCAGACUUCUCCAGAAUCUCCAACUUUUGCAGCUAUACCUGGGGAAUCGGUCCGCCUGAGGUUCCCUGAUAAGCGGCAUUGGCAAGAAAGAAAGGAAGAAAAGUUCAUGAGAGUCAAAGCAGGUUGUGGUAAGAACUCAUAUCCGGGUAAUGCCACACAAUUUCAAAGCACUUUGACAUGUCAUCUUUGGGACAGCCUUUUAAGACAGACAGGACUGAUGAUUAUUCCUUCUGCAGAUUUUAUAACCCAUGGUCUUAAAGGUGACAUGACUCAAUUAAGGCUAUGCAACCACAGGAAGAGUCAAGAAGCAGAUAAGACAUACUACAUGCUCCAGGAUCCUAUAAAGAAAGUGGAGAGAAACAGGAAUAAGACAGCAAGAGAGCGGCUUGUAUAAAAUAGAGAAUUUUUAGGCCCAACUCAGGACUUCAGAGCUGGGGAAUCCUGUCCUGGUGAGCUCAGAGGAUUGAUAUGGGAUCUCCUUCUUCCUCCCAGAGGCAACUGUGACCUACACU